rnacentral:rRNA from 1 species
UACGAAGGGUGCAAGCGUUAAUCGGAAUUACUGGGCGUAAAGCGCGCGUAGGUGGUUCAGUAAGUUGGAUGUGAAAUCCCCGGGCUCAACCUGGGAACUGCAUCCAGAACUGCUGAGCUAGAGUACGGUAGAGGGUGGUGGAAUUUCCUGUGUAGCGGUGAAAUGCGUAGAUAUAGGAAGGAACACCAGUGGCGAAGGCGACCACCUGGACUGAUACUGACACUGAGGUGCGAAAGCGUGGGGAGCAAACAGG